UACGGAGGGUGCAAGCGUUGCUCGGAAUCACUGGGCGUAAAGCGCACGCAGGCGGCUAUGUAUGUCGGGUGUGAAAGCCCCGGGCUCAACCCGGGAAUUGCAUUCGAAACUGCAUGGCUUGAGUUCGAGAGAGGGUGGUGGAAUUCCUGGUGUAGAGGUGAAAUUCGUUGAUAUCAGGAGGAACAUCGGCGGCGAAGGCGGCCACCUGGCUCGAUACUGACGCUCAUGUGCGAAAGCGUGGGUAGCAAACAGG
rnacentral:rRNA from 1 species